GCCUCCCAGAUUUUGGACGCUCGCUGGCCAAUCGCCGGGUUGCCUUCGCAGGACACGCCCAGCCGACAGCGUGGCUGCGACCCGGAAGCGGCCUAAAGAAAGGCCCGCCCUCUUCACUCCUCAUUGGUGGCUCCGCGCCUGCUAGGUGCCAAUCACGUCUCUAGAUUUAGAGAUUCUCUUCCUCUUGCAGAGUUUAGGAUCCUGAGGGACCAAGAGGGACCCUUUACUCCACAAGUACUUGAGGCGUGACUUAUACAUCGCAACAUUUGCACACUCAACCCUGUGGUGGAAACUGAGGUAUAGCCAGUAAACCUCGAGGCUUGCGCGCACCCACAUGAGGAAGCCUCCUAGGUACAGAGGCAGUUCUCCCAGCUGCUAACCCUCCUUCAAGGAUCUUCCAAGUCAGCAGCAGCUUUCCAAACAGAGUCCCUGUCCAGUGCACUCUGUGUAUGAAGGUGUGAGAAGACCCAGCCGUGCCCUCCACGUCUACUCAGAAAGGGGGACAUGGGAAGGAGGGAGUCAAAGAUUCUACCAUGGAUAUGGCAUUUGACUUAGUCCUAAAGAGGUAAGAUGUCCGCAUCUGGAGAUGGGCCAUGAGAGCAGACCAAUACCAGCAAUGCCAAAAAGGCAGAAAAGUGUGAGUUCUCAGAGCCUCCGACUCUCAGGGCUGGAAGGAAACUCAGGGGUGCCCCAGGCCAGACCCCAAAAGAUGCUGUGCACCCCUUGGGGCAGCCAGAGGCACGAGCAGGCUCCAGAAGCCCCAUCCAUGUUCGUCAUUGGUGUUCAUUUUCUCAGUGCUCCAAGAUGCCCACCACUUUCCCCUGGAAGAGCCACCCGUCCUUCUCCCUUGUUCUGUGUAGUCCCCCCAGCCCCACCAUCAGCAAGGUGUGUUUGGACUGGGUGGUGGUGAAACUUGGUCACUCGGGAGGGAGAUCUAGAAGGCAGGCCCUUAUCUGUAAUCACCACUAUCCACAUGUACUCCUCUGUCACUGGAAGAAAAAGGCUUUUAAAAUGAGUAUAGCAACUUUUAAAUGAAUAAGCCAUCAAAAUUGAAUAAAAUUAUCCAUUUA